rnacentral:rRNA from 1 species
CAGGGAUUCCCUUAGUAACGGCGAGCGAAGUGGGAACCAGCCCAGGUCUGGAAUCUCCCGGUCGGCAUUAGUCGUGACCGGGCGAAUUGUGGUCUGGAGAGGCAGACUGUCCCGAUCCACCGCCUGCGAGCCCGAAGUUGACUUGGAACGGCACGCCAGAGAGGGUGAGAGCCCCGUAGGGCAUGGAAAUCGUUAGCGGCGGGACGAGGGUCUGUUCUCGUAGAGUCGGGUUGUUUGGGAAUGCAGCCCAAAGUGGGUGGUAGACUCCAUCCAA